CGAUCGUCGGCCGGGUGUGCCUGGACAUGCUGCGCUCGCGCCGCCGCCGCGGCGAGCAGUUCGUCGACGCGGCCGCGUUCGAGGCGCUGACCGCCGA
rnacentral:tRNA from 1 species